UAAAGCUUAGAAUUGGCUUUUUGACCCAUUCCUCCAAUUGCUGUUACAAACCUUAACCCUAGCAAAAUAUUGUUAUUAUCAAAGAAUCUCAAAAAAAUUGUUAUAAAUACGAAAUAGAGAUGAUGAGAGGAGUAAAGUAAAGUCAUGUCUACCUAUCGUUCUAACCAAAAACGGCUGCGUUUAAGAAGAAACCCUAAUUUGGUGGUUGGUUGACGGCCGGAGUUAGAAUCAGAGAUGGCGACGGCGGAGGAAAUGAAGAAUGAUUCAGUUCCCAGUCUUCCUAUGGAUCUGGUGGGUGAAAUCUUGUGCAGGCUAUCUGUGAAACUCCUCCUACAGCUCCGAUGCAUGUGCAAGUCAUGGAAUUGUCUAAUAUCGGGUCACAAUUUCACGAGAAAGCACCUUAGCCUCUCAAGCAGUCUCCGGCUCCAUUACGCGAAAUACAAAUCUGAACCACACGAGUUAAUUCACAAUUCUUACCCACUCGAUUCGGUUUUAAUCAAUAUACCCACUAAAUUCAAAGAACGUCGCAUUCAUUUCGACAUGCGACAGUAUUGUUGGUUCCUGUGACGACAUCCUUUGUGUUUUCGAAAAAACUAAAGGUAUAGUUGUAUUGUGGAAUCCUUGUCUUAAGAAGUUCAUUGAAUCUCCCCCUUUUGAAAACAGUGAAAUUGUUACAAAGGUUUUUCCGGCCUUCGGCUUCGGCUAUGAUCGCCUUUCUGAUAAUUACAAAGUAGUUGUUCUUUACUACUCUGAAUCUUAUUUUAAGUUGUUUGAUAGAACUAAAGUAAAAGUUCAUACUUUGGGCACCAAUUAUUGGAGAACCACUGAGACCUUUCCUUUUGGUGCUGUCUUUGACCAUGACCCUAUACUGAAUGGUGUCGGGAAGGUCCCGUCUUCAUUCUUUCUUUUGAUUUUGAGAAGGAGUCUUAUCAAAAGCUUUUCCCUCCUCAUCAUGCAGAGAUCAGUCACCGUAGGUUGACAUUGUCUGUCUUGAGGGACUCCUUGUGCUUAAUUUCUGAUCAUCAUAUUUGGGUCAUGAAGGAAUAUGGAAUUCAUGAUUCUUGGACUAAAUUGUGCUCUGUUUCAUACCUGCUAGAUCCUAGUAAGUGUAAUAUCUUGUCCAAGGCAUUGUAUAUUUUUGACGAUGACAGACUGCUUCUGGAAACUGUAACUCUAGAGGAUUGGAAAACGAAGGUGGUUUGUUUACGAUCCAAAGAAUUAUACUUUUAAGGUCCACCUUCAGAACUUCUUCCAUGCAAGUCCAUUGGUGUUAGUUACAACUUUCUAUACGUAUGACUGAUAGACUAUAUUAAAACACGGGAAGCAACAAGCCGUGUGGCUCUAAUGAUUGUCUGGACGGACAAUCACUAUAGGACUCUCGUGCGUCUCAUAUCAAAGCAUGUUUGACUGUAUAUCCAGAUGCUUGCGGCUGAAACAAUUGUUCAUCAAAAGGAUAAUCUCAUUCUUGGCAUGCUCUCCGGAACAAUAUCCGAUUGUGCUUCAAUUUGGAGGGAGCAAUGUAGAAAGUUUGGCAAAAGCAACAAAACUUGCUAAUACUUAUUGUUACGACGAGACCAAUUUAAAGUGUUUUUUGUACAUAUAUCCUAUCAUCUUAAAUCCUAAAGAUUCAUUGUUCUGCUAUUGGCCUCUGACUCUACUUUUUUUAAAGAAACAUAUAUGACAUAUAUCAGUUGUGAUUAAGUCCAAGAGUAGCUGGACAUGAGAGUUUUGGUGUGCGUCCAAAGGUUAGAAAAUUAUCAUUAAUUCUAUAUGAUAGCAUGUAAUUGGAUUAAAUGUAUAAAUUUUCCUUGUCAACUUGCAUUGAUAGGUGCAUGGUGAGCUUAUCAUCACAUAAUUUGUUGGUUCU